rnacentral:rRNA from 1 species
CCCAGACUCCUACGGGAGGCAGCAGUGGGGAAUAUUGGGCAAUGGGCGCAAGCCUGACCCAGCAACGCCGCGUGAAGGAAGAAGGCUUUCGGGUUGUAAACUUCUUUUCUCAGGGACGAAGAAAGUGACGGUACCUGAGGAAUAAGCCACGGCUAACUACGUGCCAGCAGCCGCGGUAAUACGUAGGUGGCAAGCGUUAUCCGGAUUUAUUGGGUGUAAAGGGCGUGUAGGCGGGAGCGCAAGUCAGAUGUGAAAGCUCAGGGCUCAACCCUGAGCCUGCAUUUGAAACUGUGUUUCUUGAGUGCUGGAGAGGCAAUCGGAAUUCCGUGUGUAGCGGUGAAAUGCGUAGAGAUUAGGAAGAACACCAGUGGCGAAGGCGAUUCUCUGGACUGUAACUGACGCUGAGGCUCGAAAGCGUGGGGAGCAAACAGGAUUAGAUACCCGAGUA